rnacentral:lncRNA from 1 species
UGAUUGUGUGCACAUAUAGGGUUUUACAACUUAGACUUCAUAAAGAAAGGUGGGGUCAGUCUAGGGGGUCAUUCUAGGGUUGCUCAAGGUUCAUCGGGAAAGUCAUUCUAUUUCAUAAUGUUUUUCUGUACCUCUUCCGAAAAAUACCAUCAUUACACUAAUUGUUACUUACUAUUUCUCUCAUCCAUUCAAUUAGGUUCAUCUUCCAAAUUUUAUUUAUUAACCAAACAGCAAGCUAUGAAGCUACAAAUUUAACAGCAACUUAACUUUGUCAUUAAUAAGUUAUUGCAUAACUUUGAGAUCCAUUGGAGGUGCACAAAAAUGAUUGACAUUGUUUUAUCACCCUAAGGUAGCAUGUAAUUUAACUAUUUUGAAACACAAACCACAAUGAAUCUGGGUAUGAAAUUUUAAC